AGUGAACGCUGGCGGCGUGCUUAACACAUGCAAGUCGAACGAGAACGGAUUAUAGCUUGCUAUAAUUGUCAGCUAAGUGGCGCACGGGUGAGUAAUGUAUAGAUAACCUGCCCUCUAGAAAGGAAUAACAGUUGGAAACGACUGCUAAUGCCCUAUAUGCCUUUAAUACAUAAGUAUGCAAGGGAAACGCUUUAGUGCUAGAGGAUGGGUCUGUAUGGUAUCAGCUUGUUGGUGAGGUAAUGGCUCACCAAGGCUAUGACGCCUAACUGGUUUGAGAGGAUGAUCAGUCACACUGGAACUGAGACACGGUCCAGACUCCUACGGGAGGCAGCAGUGGGAAUAUUGCACAAUGGACGAAAGUCUGAUGCAGCAACGCCGCGUGGAGGAUGACACAUUUCGGUGCGUAAACUCCUUUUAUAUAGGAAGAUAAUGACGGUACUAUAUG
rnacentral:rRNA from 1 species